rnacentral:lncRNA from 1 species
CAAUCCUGUCAGCCUCUGGGAGGCUAUGGUUUGAGAACCAGCUGAAAAAGCUGUGGCUCGCAUCCUGGUUCCCGUGACGACGGGCCUGGGGUUCCUGGCCCCGGUGCCAGCGGAUUGGGGUUGAGUGAGACACCAGCCGGCCUAGGGAGAGAGAAGGCUAUGGAGAUGGGACAAAACAAGGACAGAUUGAGGGGGGGAACAUGGAUUUACUCUGGUACUGCCACUUACCUGAGCGGUUGCGCUGGAACUCCUUGACAAUCACCAUGUUUGUGAAGUAGGGGUUAGUCUGGAAGUACAGCUUCAUUUUGUAGCCCAUGGAGAUAUGUCUGAGAUCCUGUACCUGCUCCAGGUGGGGGUGAUGGUGGAAUCUGUCCCCCCCCCAACACACCACGGCCCUUCCCACCCACCUCCCGUCACCUCCAAGAACCAGAUUCGUGCCCGAUCCUACUAAAAAAUGUCUCUCUGGCCUGACCUGCAGAUUGGUCAAGUAGCGGAAAAUGUCUUCAUCACGUCGGUUGAUCAAAAUUGAAAUUCUGGGGUGGUUGAGGAACUGAUGAGUGGAGCAGUUUAGGUCAAGGAUUGACUAUUCCGUGAAAGGGAGGGAGGGAAGGCCAGGAAGGGCACAGUAAGAGAGGCUGGAGCAUGAGGAUUCCUUCUGUGCUUAUGUGGUGUGUUGCUUUGACCCAGAAGCCUGGGAUAUGCUGGAUGAUGAGGUCUCUGCGCUCCAGGAAGGGUCUUCGCAUCUGGAUGAACUUGCGCUUGAGACGCAGGAAGGCUUUGCCUGCCUUGAUGUUCACUGCCUCCAGAUCCAGCUGAAUAUCCUCCAGUGCCUGCAGGAUGCUCUCCAUCCUCUCGGCAUUUCUCUCUCUGCUUUCCCUCUUCACCUUCCUCUGCUUCCUCCUCCGCCGCCGCCGCCGCCUCCUGCUGCUCCUCAUACUCUCCCGCUCAUCCUCAUCCUCAUCCUCCACUAUGAUGAUCGCCUCUUCCUUGCUCUUCGGGUCAACUAACCUCUGGGGCGCCCACCCCACUGCGCUACAGGUUUCUAGGGCCCCCUCUCCACCAAAACUGCUCGACUGUACAACCUGAAAAUCGAUUUCCAGGCUCCCCCCCGAGGCCUCAGGAGUGGGGAGUGCUUCCAGGCUCUCCGUGGGCGGGGGCGCCUCCCCAUACCCCGACUCGAUGGUAGAAUCCCAGCCGGGACACUCAGCACCGAGCGUGAAGUAUGCG